ACUGCUUCUCGGCCUUUUGGCUAAGAUCAAAUGUAGUAUCUGUUCUUAUCAGCUUAAUAUCUACUACAUCCUCUGUCUAAGACUAGGAGCUAAAUCCUAGGAUUAAGAGAAAAAUAGCCUUGCUAUAAGAGAGCCUGAAUGAAGUCUCCAUAGGAACAAAGUCAU
ensembl:snRNA U2 U2 spliceosomal RNA